rnacentral:rRNA from 1 species
UACGAAGGGGGCUAGCGUUGCUCGGAAUCACUGGGCGUAAAGGGCGCGUAGGCGGCCAUUCAAGUCGGAGGUGAAAGCCCAGGGCUCAACCCUGGAAUUGCCUUCGAUACUGUCUGGCUAGAGACCGGAAGAGGUAAGUGGAAUUCCUGGUGUAGCGGUGAAAUGCGCAGAUAUCAGGAGGAACACCAAUUGCGAAGGCAGCUCGCUGGGACGUUACUGACGCUGAGACGCGAAAGCGUGGGGAGCAAACAGG